AGGGGGAUGCCAAACAGGCAGAGGGGCUGAAGGAAGGAGCAGAAGAGAACGAUCACGCUAUGGAAAAGCAUGAAGAGGACCUGGGGCAAGGCUGAAGAUGUGAUUGGGCCAGCUGGUGACCUGUUGCUGGCCUCAUGCUUCCACAUGAAGAUGCCAGGCUGCAAAACGGAGAAGAAGGAAGCCCAUGCAGAGAUGGCUUCUGAGUGAGAGCUUAGGAGCAGCUGCCCGGGUGCCCGUAGGCGGUCAGAUUUCUAGAUGCACUUCCUGUUCUUGGGUUCCGCAAGACACCCUCUGGCUCUUUUGCAUACAUUUUAAGCAACUACUUCUGAAGUUGGGAAAUCAGGAGUAGCCGCUGACUCUAAAGAGAAACUAUAUCAAUUUGGAAUGUAUUUGCAUUAUCAGUGAGUUUACUGGAAGUAUUAAAGCUGGACCAUCACUUGGAGAUGUUGUAAGGAAAUGUGAACAUUUGGCGAACAGACCUUUAAAUAAAGAAGGAAGCCAUGGGAGUGGCUGAGAUCUCCCUGAGAGAAAGUGGAGAGAUGUUCAGAGGAACCACCCCUGUGGACCCAGGAACAGGGUCUGUGUCCCUUGAAGCACGUGACAGCAGAGGACGGGAGGCUCCACCUGAACAUGACCAGGGGUCUCCUGGGGAGGAAAAAUGGAGAUGGAAGCUGCAGAGGAAACGAACAGCUGCCCCCACACAUGCCGUACAAGGCCUGCAUGGGAUGAUGUACGUAGAGCUGCAUUUAAUGUAUACUAAAAAUCACUGGGCCGUGUUGCUAACUUCUGUUAGCAGAGAAUGCAGAAAGGCUGUGGGAGCCUUUCAUUGCCAGCUCUACGUGACCCUUCCCCUUAUGAUCAACACCAGACCAGGGAUUUAACUACAAGGCCCUGCCUUACCCAGCUCUUUUUGUCCCCACUUUGCAAAGUUCCUAAAAUGUACCAGAUUUCUUUCUUCUUCAUGGUCUUAUAUGCUGAUCCCUCUGCGGAAAACAGUCUCUGUAUUUGUUGCCUUUUCUUACGUAGGUUUCACUUCAUGUCAUUCCUUAAAGAGCACUUCCCUGUCCUCCUAAACUGAAUUAGGUGCCCCCUCCCUGGCUUGUGUCCCUAUUGGGAUCUAGUUCCAGAUUGUAAUUAUGUUUCUAUUAUGUUCAUGUGUAGCUCUGUGGUAUGGGGGCCACAUUUGUUCUGCUCACUAGUGAAUCCUCAGAGCCUGGCACAUGGCAAUGCUCAAGACAUUUGAUGAAUGAAUUAGCUAUUUCAUGCACUUCUUCGUCUAACUCUCAUGCCUAUUGUCUUUUUUAAGCAUGUGAGACAUCUUUGGAGGUUAUUGAAUGUAAAGAUUUCUACAAAACAGUACCCAUUCCAAAAGAUUAAUGAUGUUUAAUAAACCUAAAUAAUAAGGAAUGCUUGGAAAGCUCAUAAAGUAACAGCAAUGGAACAGGGAGAUUUUUUAAAUCAUAUUUAAGUAAUUUAUUGCUUUGCAUCAGUUACCCUUACACAGAUAAAGCCAAGACUAGAGCAAAUUGGUGAACUAGUUAGUUCAACACUGUCUUUGCCCCAGCCCCUAUCUCACUAGCUAAUUACAUUAGCAGACAUAUAUCAAAUGUUUCCUCUGUGCUGCCCAUUGUGCUGGACUGUGAGAUUUGGCCCUGAUUUCAGUCCGGAUUCUAGUAGGGCUUCCAGCACCUCCUUCUCCCUUUGGGGCUUCCCUCAAUUCCAUUCAACAAAUAUUUAUUGAACUCAUAGUUGGGUGAAAGAAAUGAUGAAUGAGUAAAUCCGUAGCAAUACUUCAUGUUACUACUCACGAUGAUGGCUGUGAGGUGUUAACAAUAUUUUGAAUCAUGCAAGUUUUCAUUAGGGCCAUUCUAUCUAUUAAGGCAAGAACUGAACAAAUACAUCUAAGAAUGGGUUUCUACUAGAAAGAUUGCAACAAAUAAGUUUUUCUGAUUAGCCCUCAGAUAAUUCAAUUAACUUCUAUUACCAGAACGUUCAAGUCUGCUUUGCUAGCCUAUGAGUUUCCAUACAGGAGGGGCUGAAGGGCUGGCAAUCUGUUAGGAAGGCAAGCUGGAGUUUUGUCUUGAAGUCAUGUUUACACAGCAAGUAUGCUGUUUCUGCUUGGAUUCCAUGGCUAUUUGGCAUAGCUAAAGGUGGCUAUUGGAAAUCAUGGGGAAAUUAAAUCUUUGCCCCCUCUCAAUCAUUUAUUGGCGCUACCACUGAUCCUAGCUAACUGAAGCAUAAUUACAUUUUGUUUGUUUGUCAGACUUUCAGACUGCUCAGGCUUCAAAAUCCACAAGAUUUCAAAAAGAAAAUUUCAAAGGGAGAAAGAAGCCAUAGUCUGCUCUGAUAACUUGUUUAUCAAUUUAUUUUUCAAUUUCCCUGUCCUCUUCUCUCAGAGGGAAACAUGAGUGAGAACCUGACUCGCAACCCCUAUGAGAUAGAGAAUAUUUGCCUUUUUUUUUGGUUGAUUGCUGGGCUUGAAAAGAAAAAAAAAGACAGAAAAUAAAAAAGGUUAGA
rnacentral:lncRNA from 1 species